rnacentral:rRNA from 1 species
CCUACGGGAGGCAGCAGUGAGGAAUAUUGGUCAAUGGCCGGAAGGCUGAACCAGCCAAGCCGCGUGAGGGAGGAAGGCGCAGAGCGUCGCAGACCUCUUUUGUCGGGGGACAAAAGGCCGGACGUGUCCGUUCCUGAGGGUACCCGGAGAAAAAGCAUCGGCUAACUCCGUGCCGUCAGCCGCGGUAGUACGGAGGAUGCGAGCGUUAUCCUGAUUCAUUGGGUUUAAGGGGUGGGUGGGUGGGCCUUUAAGCUGGCGGUGAAAUCGCGGGGCCCAACCCCGCAGAGCCGUGGAAACUGGGGGCCUUGAGUGCGGCGGAGGAAUGCGGAAUGCGCGGUGUAGCGGUGAAAUGCAUAGAUAUCGCGCAGAACCCCGAUUGCGAAGGCAGCGUGCCGUGCCGCAACUGACGCUGAGGCACGAAAGCGCGGGGAUCGAACAGGAUUAGAUACCCUUGUAGUC